CGGGGCUUAAAGUCUUGUAAUUGGAAUGAUGGGAAUUUAAACCUCUUCCAGAGUAUCAAUUGGAGGGCAAGUCUGGUGCCAGCAGCCGCGGUAAUUCCAGCUCCAAUAGCGUAUAUUAAAAUUGUUGCAGUUAAAAAGCUCGUAGUUGAAUUUCUGCUGCAUUGCUUGUGUCCCUCUGGGGUCUGUGCAUGUGGCUUUUUUCGGACGGAGUUUCUUUGUCUGAAUGUUUACUUUGAGAAAAUUAGAGUGCUCAAAGCAGGCUUUCGCCUUGAAUAGUUUAGCAUGGAAUAAUAAAGUAGGACUUUGGUUCUAUUUUGUUGGUUUUAGGUACCAAAGUAAUGGUUAAUAGGAACAGUUGGGGGCAUUCGUAUUUAACUGUCAGAGGUGAAAUUCUUAGAUUUGUUAAAGACGAACUACUGCGACAGCAUUUGCCAAGGAUGUUUUCAUUAAUCAAGAAC
rnacentral:rRNA from 1 species